AAGUCGUAACAAGGUCUCCGUUGGUGAACCAGCGGAGGGAUCAUUACUGAGUUACCGCUCUACAACCCUUUGUGAACAUACCUUUAACUGUUGCUUCGGCGGGUAGGACGUCCCCUGAAAAGGACGCCUCCCGGCCCGGCCCGGCCCCCCUCGUGGGAGUCGGACUCGGCGCUCGCCGGAGGAUAACCAAACUCUAUUUUAACGACGUUUCUUCUGAGUGGCAUAAGCAAAAUAAUUAAAACUUUUAACAACGGAUCUCUUGGUUCUG
rnacentral:misc_RNA from 1 species